AAAAGAGAACAACAAAACGUGUGUUUUUAAUCGAAAUAAAUUUUAAACUUCAACAUACACUCUAGCUUGAGAGCUCGACAUUGCCCCAACGAAACAAGUAUCUAAGGUAAUCGAGGUAAAAAAGAAAAAGGAAUAAAUAGAGAACAUGAAAAAAAAUUUAACCAAGAGUAUAAAAGGUGUUGUGGUCUUGUGGCGGACACAUCAUCGGAAGUCAGGUGUUGAAGGCAGUGCAAAUAGUUGUUGUUGUUGUUAUUGGUGAACGUAUACGAGUACGCGUCAUCAUUAUAGUAAAGUACAUACAUAAGCAAAAUUGGAUGUUUUUAAUCGAAAGGAAGAAGAUGAACACAAAACACAAUAAAAAUAAAUAAAGCGAAAAAACGAAAAAAAAAAAAAAAACAAAACAGUGUAUGGGAAUGGGGAUGAAGGUUGUCUGCUGAACUCUACACCACGUACAUACAAACAUACGUGCAUACUAUGUAGCUGUACCUACAAGAACGAUAGUAAUAAUAAUUGCCGUCGAUUCGCAUUAUACUGUUCGAGUUCGAAAGUGUCUGAAAAGAGUAACUUACAGAUUUCUUUUCUUGUGUGCUCGAAAUCCCAAUAGGAUCGGAGGCAAGCAACACAAUGAUGGUGGAAAGAAGUUAAGGUGAAGCAAUUGGAUUGAUGUUCAUUCACUUUUCAGAUAUAUCGUUCGAACCAUACCUACCUACCUUACAUACCUACAAACAUGUGAUUUAUGAACAAUAUGUCAAAAUUAUGUCUAGUCAUUUAUAAUAUUUUUUUCGCAAAUAAAAAAAAAAAAAAACGAGAGCUCUCUGUCUCUAGUAGACUUUAGGGAAUUA